UGUCCAAUGCGGGAAUCGAACCCGGGUCGUAUUGGUCGAAAACCAAACUGUUUAACCAGCCUUCCACCGACCCCCUAUAUAUGUAUUAUAAACUACUUGAGC
rnacentral:tRNA from 1 species